GAUGAACGCUGGCGGCGUGCCUAAUACAUGCCAGUCGAGCGAACGGACGAGAAGCUUGCUUCUCUGAUGUUAGCGGCGGACGGGUGAGUAACACGUGGAUAACCUACCUAUAAGACUGGGAUAACUUCGGGAAACCGGAGCUAAUACCGGAUAAUAUUUUGAACCGCAUGGUUCAAAAGUGAAAGACGGUCUUGCUGUCACUUAUAGAUGGAUCCGCGCUUCAUUAGCUAGUUGGUAAGGUAACGGCUUACCAAGGCAACGAUGCAUAGCCGACCUGAGAGGGUGAUCGGCCACACUGGAACUGAGACACGGUCCAGACUCCUACGGGAGGCAGCAGUAGGGAAUCUUCCGCAAUGGGCGAAAGCCUGACGGAGCAACGCCGCGUGAGUGAUGAAGGUCUUCGGAUCGUAAAACUCUGUUAUUAGGGAAGAACAUAUGUGUAAGUAACUGUGCACAUCUUGACGGUACCUAAUCAGAAAGCCACGGCUAACUACGUG
rnacentral:rRNA from 1 species